AUCGUCCCUCGAGCUGCAGCUCGACUUCGUUCAGACUCUUAUUCUUAAGUUGGGCCGCGACGAGUCUCCAUCUCGACCGGCUGGCUCCCUCCCUCGAGUACCGAAGAACGUUGGUUCCCCAAAAUAACAGGGGUAGAGCUUCGAGGCAAACCGUGGUUUUCGAGAUGGACGGCUGCCAUUCUGGCCGUAUCAGUAACACAGGCUUCCCGCUACUGCGUGCCUUGAGACCACUGAGCAGUCACAUCUCCUACGUCCUCACGCUGUACUGUUUCUGAUUUUUGAUUGCCCUCAAUCACUGUAUCCACCACAAUGGAAGUUGAAUUCCGGUUCCCCAUUUCCUUUUCCUGUUUAUUCAGAAGUCAUGGAUCAAACGAGUGAUUGAGAAGAGUGAGGAUGGGCCUUGAUAUGGUUAAGACUAACAAUGAUGCGGUGCCGUGGGGUUUGGGACAGAUGAUGUGGGUGAAGAUUCGGGAAGGGCUAUGGUGGCCUGCUCAGAUUGUGCAUGAGAAUCCACCAGGUGCAAAGAAUGCAAUCAAUAAAAGAUUUGAUGGAGCGGUUCUUGCACGUGUAUAUGGAAGCAAUCAACAUUUAUAUGUGGACCCAAUGAUGGAUCAGUCUGAGUUAAACAGUAUCAUUGAGCAGAAUAAUGGUGAUCGAAAAGUGACCUUCCAGAAGUUCAUGGAGCAAGAACUUAAUCUCAUAAAAACGCAGAUGGCAAAUUCUUCCAAAUUAAAAGAUGAAGCUAAGACACCUAAUGACAAGAAGCAGAAUCCAAAAGCAUUCAUUAGUAGGAAGAGGAAACGAGAAGCAUCCAAUGCAGAGAAAACUGAACCUAGAACACCCGUUAGGAAGGAGCGGAAGCUACAGACAUCCAUUGGCGAACAGAAGCAAGAACCAAACAGUAACAGGAAGCAGAAGGAAGAGGCAUUCAGUACAGAAAAAAAAGAAGCUACAGUACCUGUUGAAAAGACUCAGGAGCCUGGUGGUAGGAAGCUGCGGCAGAAUGUGUCGAAUAUAGGGAAGAAUGAAUCUAAAAGACCAGUUAACAAGCAGACUAGAAAAGCAUCUAAUAACAGGAAGCAGGAACAAGAUGUGUUGAAUGCUGAACAGCAUGAAUCUGAAACACCUGUUGGCAAGAAGCAGGAACGGGGAGCAUCCGGUAGCAGAAAGCAGAAGCAAGAAGCAUCCAGUGCAGAAAAAAAUGAAGCUAAAGCACAUGUUGAAAAGAAGGAUAAGUCUAGUAGCACGAAGCAGAAUGAACCUGAAACACCUGUUGACAAGAAGCAGAAACGAGGUGCAUCCAGUAGCAGAAAGCAGAAGCAAGAAGCAUCCAGUACAGAAAAAAAUGAAGCUAACAUGCCAGUUGAAAAGAAGUCCAGUACCAGGAAGAAGAAGCAGGAUGCCUCCAGUGCAGAAAACAAUCAAGCUAAGAGGCCGGUUGAGAAGAAGCAGACUAGACAAGCAUUCAUUAAUAAGAACGAGAAACAAGAGGUAUGGAAUACCAAAAAGGAUGAAGCUAAAACACCUGUUGCCAAGAAGCAGAACCCCAAAGCAUCCAGUAGCAGGAAGCAGAAGCAAGAAGCAUCCAGUGCAGAAAAAAAUGAAGCUAAAACACAUGUUGAAAAGAAGGAGAAGUCUAGUAGCACGAAGCAGAAUGAACCUGAAACUCCUGUUGACAAGAAGCAGAAACGAGGAGCAUCCAGUAGCAGAAAGCAGAAGCAAGAAGCAUCCAGUACAGAAACAAAUGAAGAUGAAAUGCCUGUUGAAAAGAAGUCCAGUAGCAGGAAGCAGAAGCAGGAUGCCUCCAGUGCAGAAAACAAUCAAGCUAAGAGGCCGGUUGAGAAGAAGCAGACUAGACAAGCAUUCAGUAAUAAGAACAAGAAACAAGAGGUAUGGAAUACCAAAAAGGAUGAAGCUAAAACACCUGUUGCCAAGAAGCAGAACCCCAAAGCAUCCAGUAGCAGGAAGCAGAAGCAAGAAGCAUCCAGUACAGGAAAAAAUGAAGCUAAAACACCUCUUGGCAAGAAGAAGAAAGAAGCAUCCAAUCCGGGUAAAAGUGAAUCUAAGACAUCUGUUAACAGAAAGAAGAAACCAGAUGCAUCUGGUGAAGCAACUGUGAAUGGAAAUCAGAUGCAAGAAGCUCAAAAUGCUGAAAAGGCCACUGAAGAUAAAACAUCUGUUGGCAAGAAGCAGAAGAAAGAAGCAUCUAGUGGAGGUAAAAAUGAGGUGAAAACAUCUGUUAAUAGAAGGAAGAAACGAGAUGCAUCUGGUGAAUCACCUCUGGAGGAGAAGCAGAAGCAAGAGGCUCAAAACACAGAAAAAUCCACUGAAGUUAAAACACCUGUAAACAAGAAGCAGAAACAAGAAGCAUCCAGUAGCAGGAAGCAGAAGCAAGAAACAUCCACUGAGAAGAAGAAAUCUGUCCGUGGCAGGAAGCGGAAGCAAGAUACAUCCAAUUCAGUUCCGAAUGGCAUGGAUAUUUCAGUUCCAGUAAGUCUUGACCUGAAUAUGCCAUAUUCUUUAAGAAAGCCGAGAAUCAACCAAAAUUAAAUGGCCAUUUUACUUUGCUGCUUUUUUGGGUUUAUUUAGGCUUCAUAUGUGAACCUUUUCUAAGCAACGACUGACAUCAGUUUCAGCUAACUGCAUUUCACAACUUUAAUUGGUUCUUGAAAAGGAGAAAAAAGUUCUGUUGAACUCUCUUCAAUUCAAUCGGCUGUUGACCCUGCUUUGGCUUGUUCAAACAAAAGCUCCUUAUAAUCUGGUGCUCCUGUCAUUCAGAAGGAUGAGCAAGUCUUCCUUUCUGGUUCUUUAGGUGGAGGAUCCUUCAGAAGGUAUCUCAGAUCAAAGAGCGAGGAAAAUAAGGGUGAUGCAGUCCCUUGCUCUUGUUGCUCCAUCUGGUUCACCAUUCAGGUGGCCGACCAGCCAAGAGGCACAAGAGUAGUAUGGCUACAACAUUUUCCAUUUUGAUUGUAGAUAUUUGUAAGCAACCUUCACGAACUGAUCUAUUAUCUUGAGCAGUUUCUUGAGUACACCUA